GAUGAAGAACGCAGCGAAAUGCGAUAAGUAAUGUGAAUUGCAGAAUUCAGUGAAUCAUCGAAUCUUUGAACGCACCUUGCGCUCCUUGGUAUUCCGAGGAGCAUGCCUGUUUGAGUGUCAUUAAAUUCUCAACCAUUAUCAACUUUUGCUGAUAAUGGCUUGGAUGUGGGGGUCUAUUUUGCUGGCUUCUCAGAUAGUCAGCUCCCCUUAAAUGCAUUAGCCGUUGCCCCGCGUGGACUGUCUAUUGGUGUGAUAAUUAUCUACGCUAUAGACAUCUGCAAUCAUAUGGGUUUGCGCUGCUUCUAACAGUCUGUUGAUUCAGACAAUACAUGACAAUUUGACCUCAAAUCAGGUAGGACUACCCGCUGAACUUAAGCAUAUCAAUAAGCGGAGGA
rnacentral:misc_RNA from 1 species